GAGCUGAUCUUCUGGCCCACUUAUUUCAGCUUGGGGGCUCGUCCAGGAUAGCCAAACUGGAAGAGGACCAAGGAUGGGGCGGCUGCCCGCCCUAUUGGGAGUCUGGGGGACAGCUGGCUACGCCGGACCCAAGAGGACAGCCUGGGACCAGCAACGCUGAGGAGCGCCAGGAUACUGCAGAGGAAAACAAAAGAUAAACUGGCCAGUGGAAUGCUGUGUCUGGGACCCUUAAUGUGGAUUGAGUGUCAGCUGGAAGACAAUUCUGCUCCCACCACCACUCCCUGUCCUGUCUUAUUUGCUUUUCACCUUAUCCAUUAAA
rnacentral:lncRNA from 12 species